AGAGUUGUCGCGUGUAUUUUUCGGC
rnacentral:piRNA from 1 species